rnacentral:lncRNA from 1 species
GGCGAAGAAGUUGUCGAUGUUGCGGUUGAGGACGAGCCUGCCCACGGGCUGCAGCGGCACCACGUCCUCUGGCCACGUCUUGGUCACGUCAAGCGGGUCGAAGUCGAAGCGGUCCUCGUGGUCCGGGUCGAUGGUCUGGAUGUAGAAGGUCCACUCCGGGUAGUUUCCGGCGGCGAUGGAGUCGGUGAGGUCCUUGGUGGCGUGGCUGUGGUUGGUGCCGCCGACGGUGACGGCCUCGUCCUCGAGGAGGGACUUGACGCCGCAGGUGGGCUUCCAGUGGAACUUGACGUAGUGCGCCUUGCCGGCGCGGUUGACGAGGGUGUAGGUGUUGACGCCGGAGCCGUCCAUGUGGCGGUAGUCGGCGGGCACGCCGAUGUCGUCGAAGAGGAAGGUGAACAUGUGGAGCGACUCCGGGUGGUGGGAGAAGAAGUCGAGGACGCGCCAGUUCUCCUGGAUGUGGGUCUUGGGGUUGGGCUUGAGCGCGUGCACCAUGUCCGGGAACUUCAUGCCGUCGCGGAUGAAGAAGACGGGGAAGUUGUUGCCGACAAGGUCCCAGUUGCCCUCCCGGGUGUAGAACUUGAUGGCGAAGCCGCGCGGGUCGCGGAGCGUCUCCGGGGAGCCGCGCUCGUGGAUCACGGUGGAGAAGCGCACGAUGACGGGGGUCUGCACGCCCGGCGCGCGGAGGAAGUCGGCGCAGGUCAGGUGGGACACGUCGUGGGUCACCUCGAAGAAGCCCUUGGCGCUCGCGCCACGGGCGUGCACCACCCGCUCCGGGAUGCGCUCGCG